CAGCAGCCGCGGGAAUACGAAGGGGGCUAGCGUUGUUCGGAUUUACUGGGCGUAAAGCGCACGUGGGCGGAUCCUUAAGUCAGAGGUGAAAUCCCAAGGCUCAACCUUGGAACUGCCUUUGAUACUGGAAGUCUUGAGUCCGGGAGAGGUGAGUGGAACUGCGAGUGUAGAGGUGAAAUUCGUAGAUAUUCGCAAGAACACCAGUGGCGAAGGCGGCUCACUGGACCAUUCCUGACGCUGAUGCACGAAAGCUAGGGGAGCAAACAGGAUUAGAGACCCCCGUAGUCCCUGUCUCUUAUAA
rnacentral:rRNA from 1 species